GCCAAACAUGACAUUAAUUUUUAGCAAAAAAUUAUUAGUGUACUAUUUUUAUUGUUUAGUUCGACAAAAGUAUGUUUUCUUGGACUAGUUUUUGGUUUCGAAAUGCAUUUUUUCGAAGUAAAAAAAGAAAAAUGAUAAAUACAAUUAUACACACUCAUAAAUCUCAAACAGACAAUUCGAUUUAAAGGAUUUUAUUAUGUGUUGAAAAAAGAUUUUUUUAAUAAAGGAAAAAAUAUCACACUAGUCCUUCUCGUCAUCUUAUAAAUUUUCAUACUAAUUAGUCCUUACUCAUGGUGGACGUAGGUAUUUUUGGUUAGUGGGACACACUCAAACUUUUCAAAAAGUGACGAAAAAUUUAAAUAUUCGAUAUCUUAUUCCAAUUCUUCUUUAUGUGUUCUUAUACUUUGAUAUCAUUACCUAAUAAUUCUGUUUUUAUUUUAAUUUUUUUGAUGAAAUUCCCAAUUCCCAAACAAAUUCAAACAAUGGCUCCAUUCAAUCCCUAACAUUUAUACACCUAGUUCAACAAAUUUAAAGAGAUUCCCAAAUCCCAAAUCAUAUAUUCAGAUUUCACUUUUCACCAUAAAGAUUGACAUGUUGCAACGAAAACUGGAAACCAAAAAUAUUCAUUAACUAGUCAACAUUAAAUUCAUUCAUAAUUAUACAUGACCUGAAACAAGAAUUUGAAUGAAGAAGAGGUUAAUUUAGUAACUAAAAAUGGUCUUGAUUCUUGAACCAUACAUUUGGGAUAUAUGGAGGAGAACUUUACAUCGAAAGGCAACUCCAGUCCAUUUUUAAAAAAUGGCUACUGUUAUGAACCCACCCUUUAAAAGAAGUUGCCAUUUUUCCAAAUGUGUCUUUCAAUCGAAGAUUAAGAGAUGUAAGUAAAAUCAAAAGUUCAAAACGCAAAAUACUUCAAAGAUUAAAGUCUGCAGAAUCUGUACUAACCUUGGGUCCUUGGAAAGCGGACGACCACGGGGAUAGAUGGUUGUGGCAACUGUCAACUAUGGGAGAUUGACCGCGGAGGGCUAAAAUGACAGCAACAGCACUCGCAAAAUUAACUGAAUUGAUAGCAAUAUCACCUGACUGAAUCGAUCGCACAACCAGAUGGUGGAUGGCGAAUGACUUUGAGUCUGACAGUAACUCGAAUCACCGGCAACACUCAAGGUAAGAGGGGGAUUAGGGAAGGGUUCAAGUGAGACAGACAUUAUGAGACGGUUGGUUGGAUUUCCUUUUC
rnacentral:lncRNA from 1 species